UACGUAGGGACCGAGCGUUGUCCGGAAUCAUUGGGCGUAAAGAGCGUGUAGGCGGCUUGUUAAGUCUUGCGUGAAAUCUCGGGGCUCAACCCCGAGCGGUCGUGAGAAACUGGCAGGCUAGAGUGCGGGAGAGGAGAGUGGAAUUCCUGGUGUAGCGGUGAAAUGCGCAGGAUAUCGGGAGGAACACCCGUAGCGAAGGCGGCACUCUGGGCCGGAACUGACGCUGAGAGCGAAAGCGUGGGGAGCAAAGCAGGAGUUAAGAAACCCGUGUACGUCCGAGA
rnacentral:rRNA from 1 species